rnacentral:rRNA from 1 species
AUGCAUCCACUCUCAUGCAUACAUGCAUGCCCAACCACUCACUCGGCCAGAAGCAAGGGCCACCAUGCCACAUACAUAUGCAAAGCUAGUUGCCUAUGGCACUGGUCUCAGAUACAACUCCAGGAGCACUCUGUACCAGAUAUACAACAUAUAUUAAGACAUGCAGGAGUAGGGGUAUUAUCUCUCCGGAGAGCACGGAACCUGGGUAAACAAGCGCGUGCUACUCGCAUACCCGUCCCCGGAUAUUCCAGCGGCAGUCUUGCCCUCACCACAAGCCACCCUGUGGCAUCUAUCGUCUCGCAAACCCCCCGUGAGAAUACCACGAUAGUUGGCGCCCACCAUGGGGCAAGCUGCUGUUGGAAUCGCAGUCGGGGCGGGACCAUCUUCGUCAUCUCCAUCGCGAUGUCGCCGCCGUCUCUCCGGCCGCGCUCAAGGGCUUGA